rnacentral:rRNA from 1 species
UACAGAGGUGGCAAGCGUUGUUCGGAAUUACUGGGCGUAAAGGGCGCGUAGGCGGUGUUCUAAGUCAGACGUGAAAUCCCCCGGCUUAACCUGGGAACUGCGUCUGAUACUGGGAGGCUAGAGUAUGGGAGAGGGAUGUGGAAUUCCAGGUGUAGCGGUGAAAUGCGUAGAUAUCUGGAGGAACACCGGUGGCGAAGGCGGCAUCCUGGACCAUAACUGACGCUGAUCCGCGAAAGCUAGGGGAGCAAACGGG